UGAUGGAGAUGUAGGGCUAUAGGAGGGUGAGGUUGGGCUGUAAGAAGGAGAUGUCGGACUGUAUGAUGGCGAUGUUGGGCUGUAUGAUGGAGAAGUGGGGCUGUAUGCAGGUGAAGUUGGGCUAUAUGCCGGUGAAGUAGGGCUGUAGCUUGGUGAAGUUGGACUAUAGCUGGGAGAUGUGGGACUAUAACUUGGUGAAGUAGGACUGUAACUUGGAGACGUAGGGCUGUAGCUUGGAGAGGUAGGGCUAUAGCUUGGUGAGGUUGGAGAAUAAGAGGGACUUGUAGGAGAGUAGGCUGGACUUGUUGGGCUGUAACCUGGUGAACUAGGACUGUAAGUAGGUGAUGUGGGGCUGUAACCAGGCGAGGUAGGACUGUAGCCAGGAGAUGUAGGGCUGUAACCAGGCGAGGUAGGACUGUAGCCAGGAGAUGAAGGACUGUAGCCAGGAGAUGAUGGGCUGUAACCAGGGGAUGACGUGGGAGAGAAUGCCAUCCCGCCAACAUAAGGUGAGAACUGAGCAUCCGAAAUGGGAGAGAGACGGAGAUUUGGGCUCAGCAAGUAACUUGGAGACAUCAUGCCUUCAUGAUAUGGAGUUCCUGAUACUGGAGAUCGAGCA
rnacentral:lncRNA from 1 species